ensembl:snRNA U6 U6 spliceosomal RNA
UUGUUUCAGUAGCACAUAUUCUAAAAUUCCAUCAAUACAGAGCAGAUAAGCAUAUCUGCUGCCCAGGGAUGGCACACAAAUUCAUAAAGCAUUCCAUAUUUUG